UACAGAGGGUGCGAGCGUUAAUCGGAAUUACUGGGCGUAAAGCGCUCGUAGGCGGUUCGGUAAGUCGGGUGUGAAACCUCCAGGCUCAACCUGGAGACGCCACCCGAUACUGCUGUGACUAGAGUCCGGUAGGGGAGCGUGGAAUUCCUGGUGUAGCGGUGAAAUACGCAGAUAUCAGGAGGAACACCAGCGGCGAAGGCGGCGCUCUGGGCCGGAACUGACGCUGAGGAGCGAAAGCGUGGGGAGCAAACAGG
rnacentral:rRNA from 1 species